CAUGUAUUUCGCAUGUACACGUAUUUCGCCUACUAUAUAGUAGGCACCAGUCCAGUUGCAUUAUGGGAUUGUUUGACUCGCGCAGUGUCCAUCGGUUGCAUACUGCAAAAUCUCACCGGAAUUAGAACUCCAUCCGGGUAUUUCUCGCCUACUGUUUCUCGCAUACUAAGAAUUCGGACAUACCACCCCUCUGACGUACUGCUUUUCGCCUACUAUAUAGUAGCAACACUCACAGCACCACACUGGACAUUGCAGCUUCUUAUUGGACAGGUACAGGACAGGCUGAAUGCUGCUGCUGAUGUCUGUGAAGCCGAAAGCUAUGUAAUGGAUAUAACAUUUAAACACAUCAGGAGAGAAAUAGCGCUGAAAUGGGAAGAGAGCUACGGGAGCACCCACAGGAUGGAGAUGUUGCAGAAGAGCAUUAACGCAAACGUGGCCAGGAUCAUGACUGUGAACACUUUGUCGAAGUUGGGGAUGUUGCCCAUGCACUUCAGUAUGGCGUACACUAGCGUGAUGAACCACAUGACACCGGCACACACGGGACGAUGGCGCUGGUCCUUCAGAGUGUAGAAGACGAUGGGAUGGCACACGGCCAUGUAGCGGUCCAUGCAGAUGCAUGCCAGGAAGAGCGGCGACAUGUCCUUGAUGCCGUAGAAGAAGCGCAGUAUGUAGCAGGUGCUGCUGGUGGUCAGGUACAGCAGGUUGGCCAGCUCCAGUGGCAGGAUGAGGCAGAAGAAGGUAUCCAGCACAGCCAGGUGCCAGAUGAAGAUGUCCGACGUGGACGAGUCGCUCCUGUUGCGGUGGAUCAGCCACAGGACUAUGAGGUUGGCCGGGAUGCCCAUGAACAUGUUAAUAAUCUGCAUUCCCAGGUAGAAGAGGAUGAUCACGGGCAUGUGGCUGCACAUCUCAUACACUGUCUUUUCAGGCACCGAGACAUUUCCGUUAAGGACCAGGGUGUUACUGGUGUCAUUACACAUCUCCAUCGCUCAAAAGCUGGUGCUGAUCCAAACAAGAAACUCCAAAACUGAAAUGAAAGAUUUACAUAUGUAUUAUAAAAGCUCAUAUAAUAUUGUUGCAUUGGGUUGUGCACUAUUUAUGGUCACUGUACGGUUUGAGAUAAUGUUGAGUCUACAUGAAAUUUAACUUUUUAAACUUGACGGACGUGCCCCAUCUCAUCUCAUCUGAUCCAAACAGGAAACUACAAACAAAAAGCUGAAAUGAAAGGUAUACAUAUGUAUUAUAAUAAUGUAUUGAAUUGUACAGCAUCUAUAGGUCACUUUCCAGUUUCCUGAAAUAGUAC
ensembl:lncRNA